rnacentral:rRNA from 1 species
UAAGACGUAGGGAGCGAGCGUUGUCCGGAUUCAUUGGGCGUAAAGCGCGCGCAGGCGGCCAUGCCAGUCGGGUGUGAAAAUCCGGGGCUCAACCCCGGACCUGCAUCCGAUACUGCAUGGCUAGAGGUAGGUAGGGGAGAUCGGAAUUCCUGGUGUAGCGGUGAAAUGCGCAGAUAUCAGGAGGAACACCGGUGGCGAAGGCGGAUCUCUGGGCCUUACCUGACGCUCAGGCGCGAAAGCUAGGGGAGCGAACAGGAUUAGAUACCCUGGUAGUCCUAGCCGUAAACGUUGGGUACUAGGUGUGGGCGGUAUCAACCCCGUCCGUGCCGAAGCUAACGCAUUAAGUACCCCGCCUGGGGAGUACGGCCGCAAGGCUA